CUGACUAGUCGAGUGAUGUUAUUUUCCAGAGAUGGAGGUGGCGGAGAUAGAAAAUUGUUUUAUGACGGCAGGAGAGUCAAGGAAAGGAUCAGAUACCUUGUGCUAAGUCUGCUAAUUGAAAGGGAGAUUGAUGGAGCAAACUGGCUGGCUAGUUGCUUCAUCAGCUCUUAACUUUAUUUCGAACUGCUGUUUUAAAGGUUUGGAGACUGGGAAGCAGAAAAAUGGUUGCGCGAGUGAGGGAGUACACUACUCGUGACCCUAGGCAUCCACUACUUGUUAAUUUGAGAAUGGAGAAUAGAUAGCUGCUUCCAAAGAGACUGCUUUGCUUAUCAAGUUUGUAGAUGAUCAGAUGGGAGAACUUGUCUUUCCAAGUGGAAGUCUGACUUACUAUGCGGCCAUCGCCAUGCGUUGGACGUUGGAAAGGGGCUUUUUCUCGAUUAAGCGAAUCAUGGAGGGGUCGCAUGGCGCAUGGUUGGUGUGGGUGGUCUCUUCUUUUUUUGUGACAUUGCCAGCAGGGAAAUUAUAAAGUAGCUUCUCUUUUAUACACUUGAAAUUAGCAAUGAUCAUGUGGAGUUUUUCUUUACAAUCCAUUAUUCCAUAAAUAUUGCAAUAAAAUUGGACU